rnacentral:rRNA from 1 species
AUGGAGGUAAAAAGAGUUUACUUGAAGACCAAGCAUGGUUAUACCUUCAACGUCAAAUUAUACAAUGCAGACACAUACACCUAUUUUGAAUGCAAAACUUGGCAAGCACUAUGCAAGGCUUAUGCAUUUGAGCCUGAUAUGGUUAUCACCUUUGAUAUUCGUCCGGAAGAUUAUAUUGAAGGUAAUAGAGACAUUUGGGUCGAUGUGCAGACGCCUCCAAUUUUAACAUUAUCUUAUUUCCAAUCAAGCAAACAUGUCCGGCGCUUGAUAGACAGGACCGUCCACUGUCCCGGGGCUGAACUAAACUGCGAGGAGAUAAGUCAUUAUGUUUCAUGGCUUGAGGAUCUUGAUGCUGUCAAGACAAAAAAUUUUCCUGCACUUAGAAAUGUUAGUACUCAAAACGUGCGACCAAUAGUGUUCAUACUGAACUACAGUCACAUAUAUUUAGGAAAGAUGGGACUCCCGAUGAAUGUUGUACCUGAUUGGAUGGAGACUAAAGGUACCAUGAAUAUUGUUAGCUUACGGCCAAGAUAUCCUAAAAUGCACUUUAGUGCAUUCAGGAUUUCUAAUAGCGAGGAAUGCUUAAUAGUAAAAGACUGGAACAAAAUUGUGAACGAUCGCAGAGAAGUACUAGGGGGCAGCAAUCAGAAGCGCAACCCAUGA